CUGUCGACUCAGGAAGGUCUCACCACCUCGUGAGAGUCCCGUGAUGCUACAUGUAUACACCCCCAGGCAUACAGGUUGUUGUCGUCCCUCUGUCACCAGUAAUUUACAUACAGGUGAUCAGGUGUGACGACUUCACACAUAUACAGGGACACAGGUAACCGUACAAGGCACAACACCUGUCACUAGCCAGGUAAACAGGAAGCAACACAGCGAAGGAGAGACAAAGGGCUUUGUAUUCGUCUAUACUUCGGAGAAAAAAACACCACUGACUACUGAAAAACUCACCGCUGCUUCUUGAAGCAAAGUUCAGAACCAUCUUUGAUACAAGAAUCCACGAAAGACGAAAACAGGAGAGAUGGUGUUCAACUCGUUGCCAGUAGUGACGGAACGUGCCAUUUAUGUCGGGGGGAGCAGGGUAGAACGAACCGCCGACAAAAUACCGAAGGGAUCUCUCAAGGAACAGCUGUCUUCUCUUUUCAGAGAUGUCUGGAAGUCCGUGAGAGAAUCGUGGGGGUGUGACGACGGAACAAAAGGCGGUUACGACGUGAAAUCCCCCCGGAUGGUUUUCAGCUCGGACCUGUACUGAGUAGUCUGCUCACAAACAACCAACCAAACAAACAAACUUAAAA